UACAGUCAGUGUAAUGUAAUCUUUACUUUGUGCUACCUGCUCAUUCAAAAUUACGAAAUAACAGCAGGGAAAUUAUGUUUGUUUUUACAGGUUAUUAAAAGAAUGACCCAGGUUCCUGAGGAGCUGACCUGAAUGACCAUCAUGGCCUCAAUCCGUUGUGCCUCUAUAUUCUUUGCAAAAUGCAAUGAAUAUUUACAGAGCUGACCAUGGCCGUUUGAGAAUCAGAGGAAUGGAAAGGCAAUGAAGUGACUUGGCCUACAGGUCUUUUGUGAUCAGGAGCUGGGGUUUCCUUAGAAGAAACGUCCGUGUCAU